rnacentral:lncRNA from 1 species
UACCCUGUCGCAUCCGCCAACUCAAAUCUUCCUCUUCGCCGGCGGCGAAAAACAGCAGCAGGCCAUUAAUUUUCCGAUCUGUUAAAGGCAGAGUAUAAUCUGUUAUGUUUCUCUCUAAUAUCUUCUGUUUUCUUUUUUGUCUUUUAUCAUUUUUUGUUUCUAUGUGGUGCAUUUGAAUGGGGGGUUGGGACGAUGGGAUUUGGUUUUAGGGUAUUUGAGUUUAUUUUUAAUUUCAAAUACAACAACAAUAACCCAGUAUAAUUUCAUUUAGUGGGGUGUGUGAAGGAUAGUAU